CCCCCUUCCAUUUCUCUCGACUUAGCCUAGUCUCUUCAUCUCUUUCCUCUUUCGUCGUCUCUUGCAGAAGAAAGUUAGGGUUUUAGUUUGAGGGCUGCAAGCGAAGUUUGGAUUUGAAGAUCAGUUUGAGGGUACCGAUUAGAAGCUGAAGAUCAGAGACAACAAAGGAAUUUGUUGAGAAGCUAGAAGUUAAGCCAGGACAAAAAAUCCUUGAUAUAGGAUGUGGAAUUGGGGGAUGUGAUUUUUACAUGGCUGAAAACUUCGACGCUGAGGUUGUCAGUAUUGAUCUCUCUGCCAAUAUGCUUUCUUUUGCUCUAGAGCGUUCAAUUGGGCGUAAAUGCUCAGUUGAAUUUGAGGUUGCUAACUGUACCAAAAAGACAUACCUAGAUGAAACUUUUGAUGUGAUUUACAGCCGUGACACGAUUCUUCACAUUCAGGACAAACCAGCCUUGUUUAGGACCUUUUUCAAGUGGCUGAAACCAGGAGGUAAAGUUCUUAUCAGUGAUUACUGCAAGAGUCUCGGACCUCCAUUAGCUGAAUUCACAGAGUAUAUUAAGCAGAAAGGAUUUGACUUGCAUGACGUGGAGACAUACAGUCAGGAACUUGCAGCUGAGCUGAGGAUUUCUUGAAUGAAAUUCCAAGAUGUGUAAUAUCUCACAAAUGUCUUAUGUUGAUAACUUUAUCACAGAAACAAGUUGUUGUAAUUGAUGGUGGAGUUGAUAUACCCAAAAAAAAGGGUAUCAAAGACUGUUCUAGAGAAGGAAGUUGUGAAACCCAAAUAAUAGGAGAAGGUUAAGAAGGAAAAUCAGCAGAAAGCAUCAACGAAGAAAGUUCAAACCUUAAUUGCAGUUUUAUAUACUCGUAAAAAGUUUGCUUGUAGUUUAGCUGAUAAACCCAAAAAGGACUGCAUUGUGGAUAUUGAUGGAGGAGAGCUGCUAAUCAGUUGGCAGCUAUGUAGUACGUGAGGAGUCUGAGGACUUGCACAAAUAUUACAAGCUUGCAUAGGUAGCUCACUUUAAUUUUUAGUCUCAUUUCUCAAAUUUUAACUGAUAAAUCAUACAUUUUUUAAAGUAAUUUAUUUAUCUAGUUUUAUGCUUC